GCCGGCGGCCGUAGCGCGGUGGUCCCACCUGACCCCAUGCCGAACUCAGAAGUGAAACGCCGUAGCGCCGAUGGUAGUGUGGGGUCUCCCCAUGCGAGAGUAGGGAACUGCCAGGC
rnacentral:rRNA from 2 species